rnacentral:rRNA from 1 species
AUGAUGGAGCUACCAGGGAGGCAUUAUUGGGUCUUCAGUGUCAACUUGAGGGACGGACGCUUCGAAGUUCUUGAUUCAAGCAGGACGCUGGACAACAUUGAGCUGAUGAACACCGCCUCUACCAUCGCGGGGGCAGUAUGCCAGCUAUGGAGGAAGCAUUACCCAAAGUUCAGCAUCGAGCACUUCCAGAUUAUUGACAUUGACAUACCGAAGCAGCUCGGCAAUAAUGAGUGUGGGUUGUUCGCACUGCUUAACGCCACCGAGUGGAAUGGUAGCCAACUACCCAACUACGACCCCAAGGAAGUACUCAAUAUCAGGAAGAAGCUGGCAUAUGAUUGGGUCACCAGCGUGCACAACACCGCCCCAUGGAGGAAGUUGCUGAGAUACAAGGAGUAG